rnacentral:rRNA from 1 species
AGGCCGAAAGGCGUAGUCGAUGGGAAACGGGUUAAUAUUCCCGUACUUGGUGUUACUGCGAAGGGGGGACGGAGAAGGCUAUGUUGGCCGGGCGACGGUUGUCCCGGUUUAAGCGUGUAGGCUGGUUUUCCAGGCAAAUCCGGAAAAUCAAGGCUGAGGCGUGAUGACGAGGCACUACGGUGCUGAAGCAACAAAUGCCCUGCUUCCAGGAAAAGCCUCUAAGCAUCAGGUAACAUCAAAUCGUACCCCAAACCGACACAGGUGGUCAGGUAGAGAAUACCAAGGCGCUUGAGAGAACUCGGGUGAAGGAACUAGGCAAAAUGGUGCCGUAACUUCGGGAGAAGGCACGCUGACACGUAGGUGAAGUGAUUUACUCACGGAGCUGAAGUCAGUCGAAGAUACCAGCUGGCUGCAACUGUUUAUUAAAAACACAAGCACUGUGCAAACACGAAAGUGGACGUAUACGGUGUGACGCCUGCCCGGUGCCGGAAGGUUAAUU